GAUGAACGCUGGCGGCGUGCCUAAUACAUGCAAGUCGAGCGAACAGACGAGGAGCUUGCUCCUCUGACGUUAGCGGCGGACGGGUGAGUAACACGUGGAUAACCUACCUAUAAGACUGGGAUAACUUCGGGAAACCGGAGCUAAUACCGGAUAAUAUAUUGAACCGCAUGGUUCAAUAGUGAAAGACGGUUUUGCUGUCACUUAUAGAUGGAUCCGCGCCGCAUUAGCUAGUUGGUAAGGUAACGGCUUACCAAGGCAACGAUGCGUAGCCGACCUGAGAGGGUGAUCGGCCCCACUGGAACUGAGACACGGUCCAGACUCCUACGGGAGGCAGCAGUACGGACUCUUCCGCAAUGGGCGAAAGCCUGCCGGAGCAACGCCGCGUGAGUGAUGAAGGUCUUCGGAUCGUAAAACUCCGUUAUUAGGGAAGAACAAAUGUGUACGUAACUAUGCACGUCUUGACGGUACCUAAUCAGAAAGCCACGGCUAACUACGUG
rnacentral:rRNA from 1 species